rnacentral:pre_miRNA from 1 species
UGCUGCUGCUGCUGCUGCUGCUGAUGAUGAUGAUGAUGAUGAUCAUCAUCAUCAUCAUCAUCAUCAUCGUCAUCAUCAUGG